rnacentral:rRNA from 1 species
UGGGGAAUCUUGGACAAUGGGGGCAACCCUGAUCCAGCCAUGCCGCGUGAGUGAUGAAGGCCUUAGGGUCGUAAAGCUCUUUCGCCUGUGAAGAUAAUGACGGUAGCCGGAGAAGAAGCCCCGGCUAACUCCGUGCCAGCAGCCGCGGUAAUACGGAGGGGGCUAGCGUUGUUCGGAAUUACUGGGCGUAAAGCGCGCGUAGGCGGACUGAUCAGUCAGGGGUGAAAUCCCGGGGCUCAACCCCGGAACUGCCUUUGAUACUGUCAGUCUUGAGUCCGGAAGAGGCGAGUGGAAUACCGAGUGUAGAGGUGAAAAUUCGUAGAUAUUCGGUGGAACACCAGUGGCGAAGGCGGCUCACUGGCUCGAUACUGACGCUGAGGUGCGAAAGUGUGGGGAGCAAACAGGUAUAGAUACCCUGGUAGUCCACACCGUAAACGAUGAAUGCCAGUCGUCGGGUAGCAUGCUAUUCGGUCGACACACCUAACGGAUUAAGCAUUCCGCCUGGGAGUACGGUCGCAAGAUUAAAAGCUCAAA